rnacentral:rRNA from 1 species
UACGAAGGGGGCUAGCGUUGUUCGGAAUUACUGGGCGUAAAGCGCACGUAGGCGGACUAUUAAGUCAGGGGUGAAAUCCCGGGGCUCAACCCCGGAACUGCCUUUGAUACUGGUAGUCUCGAGUCCGGAAGAGGUGAGUGGAAUUCCGAGUGUAGAGGUGAAAUUCGUAGAUAUUCGGAGGAACACCAGUGGCGAAGGCGGCUCACUGGUCCGAUACUGACGCUGAGGUGCGAAAGCGUGGGGAGCAAACAGG